GCGAACGCUGGCGGCGUGGAUAAGGCAUGCAAGUCGAGCGAUCUGCCGCAAGGCAGAUAGCGGCAAACGGGUGAGUAACACAUCGGAACGUACCCAGUCGUGGGGGAUAACUACGCGAAAGCGUGGCUAAUACCGCAUACGCCCUGAGGGGGAAAGCGGGGGACCUUCGGGCCUCGCGCGAUUGGAGCGGCUGAUGUCGGAUUAGCUGGUUGGUGGGGUAAAGGCCUACCAAGGCGACGCUCCGUAGCUGGUCUGAGAGGAUGAUCAGCCACACUGGGACUGAGACACGGCCCAGACUCCUACGGGAGGCAGCAGUGGGGAAUUUUGGACAAUGGGCGCAAGCCUGAUCCAGCCAUGCCGCGUGAGUGAAGAAGGCCUUCGGGUUGUAAAGCUCUUUCAGACGGAAAGAAAUCGGGCGGGUGAAUAGCCUGCCUGGAUGACGGUACUGUCAGAAGAAGCACCGGCUAACUACGU
rnacentral:rRNA from 1 species